CUCUGCGGGGCGCCGGGGAGGGGCGAGGACCCAGCCGUGGCGCUGGCGCCGGGGGAGCGGAGGCAGGGACAAGGACGCUGCCGGGAGCGGGAGUCGGUGCAGCGCUGGCCCGUGGGGACUCCCAGGCAUCUGACAUCAGCCGUUAUUGGACGACAGGAUACUGGACUAGACGGACCAUUGGUGUGACCAUUCUUAUGCUCUUAACCACACACGGUCCUUCAAACAAAAACAGACAGACAAACACAAGCUCAGCACACAGCAGCAUCUGACAUCAGCUGUUAUUGGACAACAGGAUACCGGACUAGAUGGACCAAUCGUGUGACCAGGCUUAUGCUCUUAACCACGUACUGUUGUAAGAAGACAACACUUGCCUUUUUGUGUGUUGGCUCUCUCUAGCCUCCAGUGGGGCUCUAUGGAUGAGAUGUUACUAACAUAGUGCACCUACAUCAUUCAGAGUGGAGAUUUCCAUAGUGGGAUUCUAGAACAAAAAACAGACCCCGUAAGUUUUAAGUUAAUAAUCUAUAGACUUUUCUGUUAUUCAGCAGCUAUCAGCUAACAUUUUGCUAAUGUAGGAUUUCUUUUUAAACCAUUUGUAGGUCACCUUUACAACUCAUGAAUGUGUGUUGUCUGGUAUGUUUUCUAUCCAGUCUUUUUAACAUUGUGUGCAAGUUGACUUCUGCUCACCAUACCAAAAAAGAGGAUUCCUGUCAUACGUUGCUGAUUCCAUCCUCUUCUUUUUGCAUAAAGGCAAGAGCAAAAAGCCUGUUUCACAGAUCAUUUCAUUAUCCCCAUCUCCAAAUCUCUAUUGUGAGCUAAUCAAGUUCUGUCUCCUGUGAAAUAUAAUUGAAAAAAAAUCAAAUAUAUAUUUUUAAAUUAUAUUUUUAAAAGUUUAUCUAUGUAUCCUUUAAACUUGCAGCAUUCUUCUUUUAUGGGUUGCUCAAGCCAUCUCAUCAGAUUGCUUAUAUCUUUAAAAGCCUACUUUUUACAUCCUGGCUUAAGCACAUUGGCCUCUAUAACCCUUCCCCACCAUUUAGGCUUAACUGGGAAGAAUUUAACGUGUUUUCUUUGUAAUUGUUUCUCAAAUAUUUCCCUCUUCUCUGCAGCAGAUUUCACAAACUAUCUAGUAUUCUAAACAAAAUUCCUUAUGGUGUUACCACAUUUAAUCAAAGUCAGCCUUCCUGGAGUUAGACAGAGAGUAGGUAAUUUUAGUAUUAACGUUUGUCAUUAUACAGUCUAAGAUAGCAGUAAUCAAAUCUCUCACUUCAGGGCAUCAGCUAAUGGCUUUUGGGAUCUGUAAGGAUUUUUCCUUCCCUUAUUUACCAGUGAUUGUGCAAUUGGCCAUAUGUAUUUAAGACUUUAAUUUUAAAGUUUUGAUUACUGUAGUUGAGCAUUUAGCUCUCAUUUAAUUGUAUAAAUAAAUGACUUGAUUUUCAGGAAUACUUGGCACCCACUGAAUACAAGUAUUGAACACCUCUGUAAAUCAGGCCACGUUUUAGGUGUUUAACAAAUAGGGAGUUAUGCACCUACCUACACUGGAAAAUUUUGGCCUCCUUUUUUUCUUUUCUAUCAUCCCCUAAAGCAUUAGAGAUAUUAUCUACUACUAGAAGUACAGAGUCAUCUAACUUGAUGGACCACUUAUUCAUACCUGUAUGACAAAUCCCAUAUGUGCUUUCUCCAAUAAAUUAUGCCAUUUGAUUAGUUUGAUUAAGACCCAUGGUUUUUUAAACUCUACAUUGUCUGUCAUUCACCUUACUUAUACUUGGUUUAUUUCCUAGCAUUCCAGAAAAGUCAGUGUUGUAACCUUUUACAUUUGAAGAGAAAAUUAUCAAUUCACAAUUAAUGACAUUUAUUGUUGCAUUAUAUCAAGCUGUACUGAUCCACAAAGACGUGUGGGACUACUUAAUUUUGUGAAGUUCUGUCAGACGGAACUGUCCUGAGAUAACCAGGAUGGUUGACAACCUAAAUCUUUUGGACAUCAUAGAUAUACAUGCAAAGAUAGUUUUGUAAAGAUAGAUGUUACUGUGUCCUCACUGUUAGCAGCUGAAUAAUAAUAUUCUCCAAGGAUCAGAAGUUCUAGUCUGAAAUAAUAAUGAUGAUGAACAAGAAUUUUAAAAAUGGACAAGAUGCUACACAUCUCCAAGUUUAUAGGAAAAAAGGCUUGAUAUAAUAUUCUAGUUUGAAAAAUCAUAUAUGACUAUGUUAUUAAAGAUCUUGGCCCCAAUUUACCACUGAGUCCAAACUAUGCUUGAAUACUGUGCAGAGAAGAGACCAUAAGGAGCCAGCUGACGGUUCCCUAAUUCAGACCCAAUUGUAGCCGUUACCUUUAGUUAAUGUUUGUGUAUUAAAUUCCCCAUCAUUUCCCAGCUCUGGACGUAUUUUAGAAAGUAGGUAUCUAGAAAGUAGGUAACUCCAGUUCAGCAUGUGCAUGUUACAGCUACUAUGCC